GAUGAACUCUGGCGGCGUGCCUAAUACAUGCAAGUCGAGCGAACAGACGAGGAGCUUGCUCCUCUGACGUUAGCGGCGGACGGGUGAGUAACACGUGGAUAACCUACCUAUAAGACUGGGAUAACUUCGGGAAACCGGAGCUAAUACCGGAUAAUAUAUUGAACCGCAUGGUUCAAUAGUGAAAGACGGUUUUGCUGUCACUUAUAGAUGGAUCCGCGCCGCAUUAGCUAGUUGGUAAGGUAACGGCUUACCAAGGCAACGAUGCGUAGCCGACCUGAGAGGGUGAUCGGCCACACUGGAACUGAGACACGGUCCAGACUCCUACGGGAGGCAGCAGUAGGGAAUCUUCCGCAAUGGGCGAAAGCUUGACGGAGCAACGCCGCGUGAGUGAUGAAGGUCUUCGGAUCGUAAAACUCUGUUAUUAGGGAAGAACAAAUGUGUAAGUAACUAUGCACGUCUUGACGGUACCUAAUCAGAAAGCCACGGCUAACUACGUG
rnacentral:rRNA from 1 species